GAGAGUCCAGAGAAGCCACUGCCUUUCCCUCCAGAGCUGAGGAACAGGGUCUUGGAAUCCUGUGAUCUAAAUCACCUUGUGGAGGAUGCCAUGAAACAAUGGGAAGGUAAUGGAAAUUGGCUGCCAGGAUUUCACACUGGGAUUUCUAUUAUUUCUUCAGAACUGAACAUGCCAGGCUCUUACUGCAUGGAAUUGCGUAACCCCAGGAUACCUUCCUUCUUGGGGCUCCAGCCUUCAUUUCCUGUCCCCCCAGAAUGGCGCUGGAUCCUGUAAAGGAAGCCUGAACCAGAGGAUGCUGUGUUAUACAGAAAAGAGACUCAGAAAGUGGCACCUUGGGUUACAGAUGCUUCAGGUUACAGACUCUGCUC